GCCACCAAUCAUAUGUAGAGCAUAGCAGAGGAAAAAUUCCGGCGUGAUUUUUUUUUGCUUUACUUACGGCCUCGUCGACGAACUGAACCCUCUUCUUGGUGCGCGCUGUAAAGGUCGCGGGGUCGGGUUUGUUUUGCGGAAUGCGCCAAAAAGGUGGACGUUGGUAGGACAUUUGGGGGCACUUUUGUUGGUUACACUUGUGGCACACACUUGAUGGAUUAAAUUGUCGUGGAGUGAAGGUGGUGGUGGCGGAAGAAGCACCAGGAGGGAUUACACGUUGAUCUUUGGGGCACAAAUUGACGCGCUUUCCGUACGAGAUACUCUUCGUGUCUCUCUGGGGCAACUCAUUCGGUCGUGCGGCUGCCUGAAUCGUUCUAACACAUAAACGAAAUUUUAUUGGCAAAUCGAAAUUUGUUUUCAUUAACACUACACUGCUAAAGAAAAUGCGAAUUUUCUUCGAGAGGAAAAAUUUUUUUCUUGAAAAUUUUAACGAUUUUCUCUGUGAUUUUCCUGGCAAAGAAAGGAUUCUAGUUUUCCUUGUUCAUUAAAUUCAAAGGAUUUGAUUUUGUGGCCAAUUUCUAGCAGUGUAGGUAAUUCAAUAUCACAAUUUAGUUGUGCCAGAUUUUUCUUAAUUUUCACGCAAAGAAAAUUUUAACCAAAAUAUUGCGACAAUGUGGGAGAAAAAGUGCGAAGAGGAGGAAAAAUCCACGAAAAGCUGUGAAAGUAUUUUAAUUGUUGUCAAGCAAAAUGACGAGAUGGGACACACAGAAUGAAAUAUCAAAGAAAACAUGCUCAUAAUGCUCUCCUAUUUAUAAACCAUCACACACAUCCCAAAUGGAUCCACUGACCCCUUGAGUCGCGCGUAAAAGAGUAAAGAAAUUGUCUCAUCGCCUUGAGACUUUCCAACGUGCCAUGUUUUUGAUUAAGCACUACAAGUCGCUAUCGCCAGAGGAAGUCCAAAGAUGCACUCUGAAAAAAAAAUUAGCCCCAAAAUCGGAGCUUUAAUGAGCAAUCAUCGAGAUAAGCGCGGCAUAAAUGAAAGUUUUAUCCAUUUAAUCGUACAAGAAAACACGAUUAAAUCAAAAUGAGACAACGCAAUUUUUGCCACUGAAUCUGGGAAAGAUAUAGUCAUGUGUGGGAAAAAGUCUGCCAGGAAAGUCAUAAAAAUUUGCCCUUCAUACACUUUUGAGAGUUUUUUUUUUAUUUUUAGGGGCACCCAAAUUCCUAAUUUGCCAAUUUUCUCUGUGAGGAUAUAUUGGGAAAUUUUCACGUAAUGCCAAGAAGCUGUCGAAAGGAAUUUGCAACAAGUCAGAUUUAUUGAAAAUGAUGUGAUUUCUCCCAUAAAACUCAUUAAUAUUUCAUUGAGCAAAAGCAUUAAAUGAAAAUCAAAAAUGUAUGUAGAUUAAUAUUUGAAAUAUUCAAGCUGAAAAUUUGCCUAAUUAAUCAAAAGAAAUAAUAUUAAAUACGAGUUUUGUGCAGAAUUAUAUAACACAGGAUGUCCCAUGUGAACUGCAGAUAAAUUUUGCGAGGAAAGAAAUUUAUAUUUAUUUAAUUUACAUAAUUAAAAAUUUAGCUAUUAAAUGAGUUUUUUUGCGCUAAAAUUAAAUUUUGAUGACCUGUCUUAUAUUACAAAAAGUUCAGUGAUUAAAGGAGUUUAUACGAUACUGUAUGAGAAAUAUUCAUGAGAAAAUGAUUUGCUCAGAAACUUUAACAAUGACGUCACUAUUGUUUUGUCAAGAUCUUACGAAGUUUUUAACAGAAUUUCUCGAUUUCCAUUGUUUUAACGUCUUAAGGGGGAUCUCUUUUGAGACCUAGUGAAAUUAAAUGUUUUUAUUUUUCUUGGGGUUUUUCUUAAACUUGGUUUUCCGGUGCUGGUCACAUUUAAAGACUUAUUAUUGAAGAGUAAGAAAAUCCACUUUCCGCCAUUUUAUGUGCAACGCCAUCUUGAGAUUUUUCUCAAAACACAAAGGUAGGUUUUUCUCAGGAUCUACUGGAUGGAUUUUGAUGGGAUAAAAAAGAAAUGAAAGAGGAAAUACCAAUGCAGAUUUUGAUGUACCAGAAUUUUGAAUUUCACUUCUGGGACUGAGAAAAGUAGAAAACGUCAAAUAUAUCUGAACAAAAAUCUCAAAAUGGCGAAAAGUUAUUUCCUUACCCUUAAAAAAUUAGGCUUCAAAUGGAACAAGGUUUAAGAAAAAGCCCAAGAAAAAUGAAAACAUUAAAAACUGUCAAUUCUAACAUUUGCCUAAGAGACCCCCUUUAACAGCUUAACACAACAGUUCAGCAGGAUUCCUUUUAAGGUAUUCAAGAUUUUCAAGGUGUUAAAAGAAAAAAAUAAUCUUUUCCAAGGGCUGUCUCGCUAAAACACGACGUCUUUAAGAAGUCUCUAAAAACAAGUUAUUUGUUGUGAAUUUGUAUUUAAAUCAUUUAAAUAGUUCUUUUGACUUCCUAGAUUCUAAGACCUGUUCUAAACAAAGACGAAAAGUGAUCUAAAUUCUUCAGAUUUAAGAAAAACGAAAUCAUUACGAUGAAAAUUACAUGUUCCAACUGAUUUGUUUUUUUUUAACUGCAAGAAUUUUAAAAUUAAAAAAAAAUUGUCCAUUUUAUUCAGAUUCAGAGUUUGCAAUUCAUUAAGUUCUUGAAUACUUUUUUAAUGAAAGAAAGGAGAGUAGUUAUAUAAUUCUAGCAGUUCCAUUGGCACACCCUGUAUACUCUACAAAUAUUUUCUUCUUCCUUUGCAAAAGAAUAAAAACAGGAGAUUUUUUUUAACUUUUCUUUUUAUUAUUUGUUUUUAAAUAAAAUACAAUGAGAUAAACAAGAAAA